rnacentral:rRNA from 1 species
UACAGGGGGGGCAAGCGUUGUUCGGAAUUACUGGGCGUAAAGGGCUCGUAGGCGGCCAACUAAGUCCGACGUGAAAUCCCAAAGCUUAACUUUGGAACUGCGUCGGAUACUGGAUGGCUUGAAUUCGGGAGAGGGAUGCAGAAUUCCAGGUGUAGCGGUGAAAUGCGUAGAGAUCGGGAGGAACACCAGUGGCGAAGGCGGCCUUCUGGACCAAUACUGACGCUCAUGCACGAAAGCGUGGGGAGCAAACAGG